rnacentral:snRNA from 1 species
GUGCCCACUUCAGCAUCACAUAUACUAAAACUGGAAUGAUGGAGAGUGGAUGACCAUGGGCCUUGUGCAGGAAUGACACACACAUUUUAAAGCAUUCCACAUUUUUU